GUAGGUGGCAAGCGUUGUCCGGAAUUAUUGGGCGUAAAGCGCGCGCAGGCGGUUCUUUAAGUCUGAUGUGAAAGCCCACGGCUCAACCGUGGAGGGUCAUUGGAAACUGGAGAACUUGAGUACAGAAGAGGAAAGCGGAAUUCCACGUGUAGCGGUGAAAUGCGUAGAGAUGUGGAGGAACACCAGUGGCGAAGGCGUCUUUCUGGUCUGUAACUGACGCUGAGGCGCGAAAGCGUGGGGAGCAAACAGGGAUUAGAUACCCUGGUAGUCCACGCCGUAAACGAUGAGUGCUAAGUGUUAGGGGGUUUCCGCCCCCUUAGUGCUGCAGCUAACGCAUUAAGCACUCCGCCUGGGGAGUACGGCCGCAAGGCUG
rnacentral:rRNA from 1 species